CAGAAAAUGAAACUAAUUAUACAAACCUAUUGAAUUUUAUUUGAUUAAAUUCAACAAAUUUUGGAGCUUCUCGAUUAUGUUUAUAUUACAUGAAAAUGUAUACUUUUAAUUUGAAUGUUUUCUUAAACAGAGAAUGCUCAUGUUUUAAUUAUCUAAAGCCUGAAUUUAAUCUCUACUCCUGACAGGUGCAGUGAGUCAGUCUGGUGUUGAAGUCAUCCAGAGCCCCAGUGUUCUAAUGCUGAAACCAGGGCAGUCUGCUGUCAUGAACUGCACCCAGAGCACCUCUCAUACAUACAUGUACUGGUAUCAACAGAAGAACAACGGACCUCUCCAAUUUCUCUUCUACACUAUGAACUCUGAGGAAGUAACAGAGAAGAGUGAUGGGAUCCCUGACAGGUUUACAGUGUCCAGGAAAAGUGUGCCGAAAACAGAACUCAUGAUUACCGGAGUUCAGCCUGAAGACUCCGCACUGUACUACUGUGCAGCUUCACCACAGUGGUGAACCAUGUGGACUCUCCUGUCUAAAAACUACAAGGAGAGAGCAGAGGAGUUCACAGCAGCGAUCAAUGUGCAGCAAUUUCCAGCUUCUCUCUUCGGAAGUCUGCACAAAACAACCCUCCUCACCUGCAAACACGAUGACAGCAGCUAUCAGUACAUGUUCUGGUACCGGCAAGUGAAAGGACAGCAGCACUUGGAGCUUGUUGGUUUUCUCUUUUUAAAAAUGUCAACCAGGACAAAGAAUAUGAAGGAAAGUUUAACCUCUCAGGGAAUGCACAGGAAAGUGGCUCUUUGCUUAUCUCAGGCUUAAAAGCUGAGGACAGCGGCAUGUAUUUCUGUGCAGCUAGUAUGCACAGUGGUAAAAGCUCUCUUUAAGGCUGUCAAAAUACAUUAACCACUGCUGCAGCUGCAAAACCUGUCUGCAUUCUCAGUGUCAUUCUAGGGAUUGACUUGAAGAAUCAGCAUAAAGUGAAAUAUGGUUUUCUAGCUGGUGUCAGUGUCUAUAUGUUAUGAAUGAACCUGCACAUGGAAUAGCCUUUCCUCCUUGCACGCUGACAUGCAUUACCAAAGACAAGUAUUUGAGACAAGGGACCACAAUAAAGCCAUAAAUGUUUUUACAAGUCAAAGCCACUUCCUCUAACUGUAGGUUUUUAUCAUUGGGCUGUGUUGUGCUGAUAAUACUGCCAAUAUAUUAUACAUAAAAGUGGUUGUAUGUAUAUGUGUAAAUGUUGUUCAUCAUGUGGUAGAAUACAAAAGUUGAUUGAUAUGUGAAUGAUGUUUAUUGCUAUUUCUUUCCGUUAGCCAAUUCAGACAGUGCUGUGUGCUUCUGUGCAGCAACUCAGGCAGCAUUGCCUCUCCUGUAAACAAAAGGUCAUGCAGGGAGAAGGCCUACCAAUAGGGGGAGCCAUUACUAGCAACAUGAGGGCACAAAUGGCAUGUGUGUGACCACAGGGCUCAAAAGAGAGAUGAGAUGAGCUGAGAGUUUAAAGAGUGCCAGUCUGCUCGGUUUGCUCAUGUUCUGAAUGCAAGAACAUUCUUCUCUAUGAUGUGAUAAAUAUGAACCCCCAGAACUUUUGUAAGAUGGAGAGAGUGUGCUUUAUACUCCAUGUCUACACAAUGUCUCUGUUAGGGUUCUCAAGAGCCAUCACUGUAAAACAGUUCCCAUCUUCUCUCUUUGGAAAACUCAGUGAUGAUGUCCUGCUCACCUGCCAACAUGAUGAUAGCAAUUAUUACAGAAUGUUCUGGUAUCAGCAAGCUAAAGGAAAACAGUCUUUAGAGCUGGUCGGAUUCCUUGCUCAUGCUGAAGUAACCCAAGAUGAAAAGUAUAAAGGAAAGUUUAAUUUGACAGGGAAUGGAAAUAAGAGAGGUUCUUUGCUUAUCUCACAGCUGAGUGCUGAAGACAGAGGCACAUAUUUCUGUGCAGUAAGCACAGCGGUGCAAGGGGUCCGGAACCCUUACAAAAACCCUCCAACUUCAUCACUGCCGAUUGAACCUACCUGGUAACUUUUCUUUCUCUGAGAGACAGAAAGUCUGCCCACUAUCCAGUGAUAAAUUCACAAAUGACAUUACCAGGCCUUCAGAUGCAGACUUUCUCUGUGCAGUUGCAUAGCGCAAUGGUUCUUAAACUCAGCCCUCAUUUUUACAUGAACACCACAGUUUGAUACAUGCCUUCUCUACUUUGGAAUCUUAAUUCAUAGAGAAUAUAUUUAGAGGCUCUUCCAGACAUGGUUUAAACCAAAAAAUAAAUUUUAACGUAACAUAACAUAACAUAACAUAAUAAUGAGAACAGGCCAUUCAACCCAACAAUGCUUGCCAUUUUACGGACUAUAUUGUACCUAGCGAUCUGAUUACUAACAGACUAGAUAUUAUCUAACACCUUAUAAAGUCUGGUCUUGAGAAACACCAGAGUUCCUGCCUCUAUUAUGUGACCUGGCAGGCUAUAUACAUAGAUUCAACGUUCAUUCAUGCACAGCCAGACAGGAAGUGGGUAGUAAACUGUAGUUCUGUUUCUCCUCUUUAAAAAGAGUGACCUUGUGUCUGCCUCUCAGUGCUCGAAGAAUGGAGCCUGAACUUUUGCUGUUGUUACUUUCAAGUCUGGCCAGUGUCCAGUGUCAGUCUCAACAGAAGGUCUCUCAGUGGCCCUCACAGACGGUUGUGACCCUGGGCUCCUCUGUGGAGCUCCAGUGCAAUCAGAGCAGCUCUGAUAGCUACAUGUACUGGUACCGCCAGCAGAGCACUACAGGGCUACAGCUCGUCAUGCUUUCUGUCUACAUGAAUAAUCCAGAGAGGGGAGAGAACAUCAGUGAUAGAUUUACCAGCACCAGACCGAAGACAGAGAGUAUCACCCUCACUAUCAGUCAGGCUGAGGAGUCAGACACAGGUGUUUAUUUCUGUGCAGCAAGUCCCACAGCAGGCAAUUCUGUCCCUCCUCCUGCAACAAAACACCAGAUGAUUAGAAUAAGCCGAUAGAUUUGAAAACAUUCUCAUUUUAGUGUUAACUGACAAAAUUGUUUUUGGUAUUAAUAUAUUGCAACUAGCUGAAAUAUUUUAUUUGACCCAGCUGUUUUGAAGACUGAAAAAACAGUUAUUUUCCUUAAAAAAUACUGACACCUUUGAUUUAAAAAAAGUCCAAAAUGGGAAAUAAUGUUCAAUGUUGAACUUUUGAUUGGAACUGGAUUGGAUCCCCCGCAAAAACUGGCCUGUAAGACAAUGAUCUCAAGAAUGCCUCAAAAUCAACCAAGUAACGGUGAACUGACCACACUAACAUGUGCAGUUUUGAACCUUCUGAAAAUCAGUGGUUUGACCUGAAGGAGAGCAUAGAGUUUCUGUCAUAGUAAUGCCAUUUCAUGUACAACUCCCGAAGUGAAACAUAAACAGAAUGCCAGAGAAGAAAACAUUCCGUAGAUA